CACCAGGCUGAAAGUAGACUCAUGUUACCUGAGGGUGGAGUCAGGCCUAAGAUGCCGACACCUGUACAGCGCGAUCUUUUUCAGGGCCACAUGUGGGCACCUGGCUGGGGCCAGGGUAUGGACUUAAGUCAACUUUGUGUUCUCUUUUCUAUUUCAGAGAUUUUAAGCAGCACCAUCAAGCCUUACAAUGUAAGUUUGCUGCUGUAGUGGCAGGGAUGGUGGGCUUAAAUCCUAACUGGAGUUAGUAGGUCUGGGUUCUAGAGUCAUGCCAGCAUCAGGGUGACCUGCCAUAGGACAUUCACUCAUGAACUUAGUUCUUCUUUGACUCAGUCAUUUAUUCACUGUACACUGAGUGCUUGGUAUAUUGCCUCUUGCAGUGCCUUCUUAUGAGGGCUGGGCUGUGGGAGCUCAGGGGACCUCUGACACAACCUAGCUGUUCAGUUUGCAUCACUGAGAGCACUUGCCUUGUCUUCAUUUUAGGGGACUAGCAAGCUUUCUCUGGAACCAUAGGUGGGGUAGUCCUUUGGUGCAUCUUAUCCUUUAUAGCAUCAGUGUUAACAAGUUAGCCCAAAGGUGAGGGAGGGAGUAUGUGCUUUGGAUCUGUUUGUUUAAAGAAAGCCAGUUAUUUGUAUUCACCUAUUCCUUAUUUGGUAUUUAUUUAAAGUAUCUUGAGUUGUGCUGAAUUCUUGGCUUUGUCCUGAAGUUAAAGAGAAAUUAAAUGAGGACUUGCCUUCAAGUACAUAAUAAUCUAGUGGAAAAUACAAAAAACAAGAAUCGAACUAGGGCCCUAACAGAGAAGUGCCUUACCAGUGCCAGAGAUGUGGUCAGUGUGCAGGAAAUUAUUUUACAGUGAAUGACAGGAUGAGACUGAAUGUAGGGCAUGGCACUUAUGGUCCCUAAGCCCAUAGGUCAGGUAGGCAUGAAUUUCCUGGCCACCUACCCACCAAGAGGUGCCCCCUCCACAUACAUAACCAUUUCAAAGGCUAUAAGACAUCCCUCUGCCCUUACUGCAUGGCAGAUGGUGAGCAAAAGGCUGUGGCUAAGUGUACUGCGUCUGUUUGGAUGAUCUAGAGACUUUGGAGCUUAACAUUCUUGUUCAUAUUUUUGGUGUUGAUAAUUUUAUUUACUAUUUAUUGAGCACUGUGCUGGGCACUUUAUAUGCAUUUCAGAAUCUGACAAUAAAAUUGUAGAGGUUUCCUCAGCUCUAUUUGACAGUUUAGGAAUCUUGGGCCCAGAGGGGAAGAGAGGCAUAGCUUACCUUACAUCCAGGCAGGUUGAUCCCAGCAUCAACACUCUUCUGCAGCCUCCAUGUCUACUGUCUACAGACAGCUUCAUAGGGAGCAGGUGCCCAAGGCAGGCCUCCUCUAAGAAGGGGAUGAGUUCUUCCUGGGUCUCAUGCUAGGCCUCCAGGGGCAGUAAGUGCCCAUUUGGCAGGAAGGAGAGGGGCCAUGGGGUUAUCCUGAGAGCUCAUUUGGGCCUACCUUCUCAACACACUUCCUUUCUAGGCUGAAGACAAUGAGAACUUCAAGACAAUAGUGGAGUUUGAGUGCCGGGGCCUUGAACCAGUUGAUUUCCAGCCCCAGGCUGGGUUUGCUGCUGAAGGUGUGGAGUCAGGGACAGCCUUCAGUGACAUUAAUCUGCAGGAGAAGGACUGGACUGACUAUGAUGAAAAGGCCCAGGAGUCUGUGGGAAUCUAUGAGGUCACCCACCAGUUUGUGAAGUGCUGAUCCCUCUUCCUUCCCAGUUGCCCUUAAGAACUGAGAAAGGACAAAGUACUCUAAGCAGCAGAGCCCACAGAGGCUGGUUCCUUUGACCCUUGUCCCCUGGUGGCUGUACGAAACCUUCACAAUCUGCAUGCUGGACUUUAUUACAGCUUCCCAAGCCCCAUCAAUAAAGCCCCUGUUCAUGCUGC
rnacentral:sRNA from 1 species